rnacentral:RNase_P_RNA from 1 species
AGUCAGCUGGGCAAUUGCUACCUUUUACUCUUCUAUUAUCGAAUAUCCGAUAUCAGAGGAAUCUGGUAGAGGAAAGUCCGGGCUCCACAGAGCAGGGUGCCAGGUAACGCCUGGGGGGUGUGAACCCACGGCAAGUGCAACAGAAAAUAUACCGCCCGGCACCACGACCUGAGCCGAUGUUGAUCUUGUCAACUGAGGCGGGGGUGGUGGGCGUUAGGUAAGGGUGAAAUGGUGUGGUAAGAGCACACCGCGCGACUGGCAACAGCUCGUGGCAAGGUAAACCCCACCCGGAGCAAGGCCAAAUAGGAAUCCUCUAAUGUUGCUCGCAUUGGAUUCGGGUAGGCCGCUACAAGCCUGCGGUGACGCAGGUUGCAGAUGAAUAAUUGUCCUCGACAGAACCCGGCUUACAGGCUGACUCUA